rnacentral:lncRNA from 1 species
CAUUGGUUGAGAAUAUUGACGUCACUGAUUUAAUUUAAAGGGAGCUAUGGCUGAAGGCGAGGAAUCUCUGGAAGAAAGUCUCCAGAGGACGAGUUCUUCCUCUUUAAAGGUAAUGUAUUAAUCUUUACAUUAUGUUAAGUACAUACAAUAUUAUACGUAUUCCGUUAUUUUACUCCGGAGGCGAUACUGAAUUUUAAAUAUCCGGAAAGUGAAAAAUCGAACUUCACGGAAGUCAGAAUUAGCUGGAAACUCGGCAAUAAUAUAACGGAACUAGAUUCGGUAAAUGUUUAUAUUGCAUAUACAAUAAAUACCUUAAGACUGGUACUACUUGAAAACAGUGGUCCCGGUGCGCGCACUCGCGCUAGCUAGUCGUUACUAGUCGAUCCUAAAACGACUUGCGCGUAUGCAAAUGAAUAGAUUCGCGCAUACGCGAUACACAAAUUAAUAUUUUUCGAGCAAAGUAAAUAAUUUUUUAAACUAAGGAAAUAAAUUACUUAUUAUAAACAAAGUAAGGGUGUUUUUUUUUAAAUGUAUAUAAUUUUUUUAAACUAAGUAAAUAAACUAUUUAUUAUAAACAAACUAAGGUUUUUUUUUUUUAAUGUAUAUAAUUUUUUUACACAAAUUAAAUAAUAUUUUUCGAACAAAGUAAAUAAAAAGCAAAUAGCAAAUAAAAAAUUGAAUAUCUUACAGUUCUUGCAAUUCGUUCGAAAAUGCCACCAAACAAUAAAAUGAAAUGUUGAAGUUCAUUUGAUUUCCUCGAAUGUGAACCAUUCUGAAAGGUGCUUCGGAAUGUUUUCAAAACAUUCCUUGCCACUUUUUCCGUAUUCUUCUCUCCAAAGAAAUUCGUCCAGGUACGAUUCCAUCAUGUUCGUGUGGACCCCCAUCAUAGUCUUCGGCUUUUUGCAUUCUUCCAAUAACAUUCCACAGAAUUUGCGUCUGCGAAAUUUUCCGAAUGGUUCACCUUGAAAUGGGUGUAUUUUGGUAUCACAUCCAUUUCAUUAAUACCAUUCUACGCACCCCAACAACCGGAAUAUAUCGGCAAUGUAAACAUGGUUCAAAACUUUCUUCUCCUUCAGAAACGAAUUUGCCGCAUGUGCGAUGCAAACAUGUAUCGCGCGUGCGCGAAUCUAUUCAUUUGCAUAUUCGUGAGUCGUUGUAGGAUCGACUACUUACGACUAGCUAGCGCGCACCGGGACCACUGUUCGCUAGUAGUGCCCAAGUACCGUAACUGCCAAUUAUAAACCCACGUGGGUUUAUUUACAUUUCUGAAGAAAAAAAGAAACCCUUUUCCUCCACCCCUAAUCCUAACAUAUAUAAAAAAAAACUUUACGGAAAGUGAUGAUCUUCUUCAAAUGUAAACAAAUAGACUUUAUCUGAUAACCUCCCACUCUCUUUCUCUUCUACUUCCUCGUUCCAUCUUUUUCUGUUCAUCUGAUUCCCCAACCCCUUUUCUUUUCUCAGUUUUUUUUUCUACGACCUACUCUCUCUCUCUCUCUCCUCUAUCUAUCUAUCUGUCUAUCAACAUUAUUUAAUGUCUUUACUUUUUCAGAUCGAUCCAGCUUCUCGUUUUAGGACAUGGACUUCAUAUAUCCUGUGAAAUGAAUACCGUGAUAUAGUAGAGUUGUUACUGCAGUCUUAACUUGAUGUAAUCUGGUGGAUAACUAUGCCAACCCAUUCACCUGGACGGUUUAACUUAAUAGUUGUGUUAAUAUAGUAUAAACACGAUGUCCUUUUUAUGGUAAGUUAAGAGUGAUGUAGAAUCAUUUCUUUUUAACUAUAACUUCCACAUAGUCUCUUACCUGGUGGUCAGUGCAGAAGCUAGGGAUAGAUGAGUGGUUUGGUGAGAGCUGUGCAAGCCAUGUACAGGGAUGCUGUCAGUAAGAUGAAAGUCAACGAAGGAAGUGUACAGGUGGGAGUUCACCAAGGAUUAGCUGUCAGCCCCCUCUUGUUUAUCGUAGUCCUCCAGGCCAUGCCAGGGGGAUUUAAGACAGGCUGCCUUUGAGAGACCUUGUUCUUAUUGCUGAAUCACUACCAGAACGAGAGAAGACAUUUCAGGUGUGGAAGCAAGGUUUGGAUUUUAAAGGCUUAGCAAAGACCAAAGUCCUAGUAAGUAGGAAAGCAGACAAAUCACUGAUCCCUUGAGGGAGAUGGCCCUGCUCAAUAUGUAGAAAAGGUGUUGGUAGAAAGUCCAUACAGUGUACCCAGUGCAGCAGUAUCAGGAAGGUUAACAGAGAAAGUAGUAUUUAUGUGAGGCAGACGUACAGGUAUAUUAAACACUAGGAAUGUACGGAAAAUAGACUCUCUCAAAUGUCCAGGUGAUUCUUAGAAGUAGUAGAUAGUUUCCAUUUACUUGGGCAACCAAGUUAGCAGUGGAGGAGGUGGUUCUGAAAGCAUAGAUGCUAGAAUAAGAAUGGUUCUAGGCAAAGCUUAGAGAGCUACUACUUUUGUUAGUAACAAAAGGCCUCUCCCUCAAAGUGGAAGGCAGAUUGUAUGAUGCCUGUGUAUGAAUAGCUAUGCUACAUAGCAGUGAGACAUGGGCUGUGGCAAAGCUUGAAAGAAAUGAAGCCAGCAUGCUCUGCUGGAUGGGUAAUGUCUGUGUGCAUUUACAACAGAAUGUAAGUGAUUUGAGAGAAAAAAUUGGGUCUGCAAGGCUUCAGUUGUGUACAAGAGGGAAGACUUCAUUGGUAUGGUCUUCUGGACAGGGACAGCUGCUACAAGAAGUGCUGAUCUAAUUGUAGAGGGAAUGUGUAGAAGGGGUGAACCCAGGAAGGUAGGGAUGAAGGGAGAAAAAGGAUCUUCAGACAUUGGGCCUCUCAGAAAUAACAUGGGAUCAAGAUUUCUGAUGGUUUGUAGUACUUGAGAAGACACAUCAAACUAAGUCAAAUCGUGGCUGUCCUUACAUAUAGGCCUGUCCUCCAUGUUCCUCUCUCAGCUAAGAGGUCCCAGUCUUGUGGACUCAUGGGUGCCAGUGUCAUGUAAAAGUAUCCAUAGAGGUGUCACAUUUAAAAGCACCAACUACACUCUGAAAAAUGGGGACAUUAGGAAGGGCAUCCAGCCAUAUAAACCAUGCCAAAACAGACAAAUGAAGAUUGGAUGUUAAAUGAUGGUUGUCUUGGAAUGAUAUUUUAAGAUAUUGAAAUGUUGAUAUUUCUGAGUUGUUAAUAGAGAAACAGUAAAAUAUGUUGCAAUCAAUAAGUUCCAUAGGUGCAGGUGUAUCUGUGUGGUUAAGAAGUAUCUUCUACUAUAGCCCUGGAAACUGAAACAAGUCUAUUAUAUACAUGUAUAUGUGUGCAUUUGUAUGUCCAUUCUUACAAGCAAUAUCAGUCAUUUCCAAUCUUCUACCUGGCCAUAGAAAAUUUACCUCAACAAACCUUGUCUGCCCCAUACAAGCAUGGCAAUGUAUGCAUUAAAUGAGGGUGAUGAAAUAUAUUGGAGCAAAUACAGUGCACAGCCUGUAUAAAUCAAGAGACUUCCCUUCAAAUGUUAACCAAUCUGUGCCAACAUUUCUAAUAAAAUACAUUGUUUAUAUGUUUCUAAUUUAUUUUGAAAAUAAAGAAUAAGGGAUUUACUAAAGUAAGUUUUGUAAUUAUUACUAAGCUACUGUUUAGAAUAGUAAUUUUAAAAAAAUAACUCUUAAACAUAAAAAUGGAAAUUUUUAUUUAAAUAGUAAACCCUAAAUUUUCUUAUUCUUAAGAUUUUUAACUAAAUUUACUUACAUAAUCAUAUGUUUGCCUUUAUCAUUUCAGAUAAGUCCUAAGAUUAUGAUUUUGAUUCGUCUUCAGAUUCAUCUUCAAAUAUCAGCAACACAGAAUAAAUGAUAUGUACAAUAUGCAUAGAGCAACUUUGGAACAUGGUCUUUGAAUGUGGUGGACAACUUUGUCAGUACCAUUUGUGUUGAGAAACUUUAAUAAAAGGAUUAUACAUUGAUCAGCUUUUUUCUUUUUUCUUUUUUUUUUCUUAUCUUUCCCUACCCUUCCACCAUCAUCGUCUCUUCCUAACUACUGCAGUAAUGGUUCCUACAGCUCUGUUAUUAAUAACCC